rnacentral:rRNA from 1 species
UACGUAGGGGGCUAGCGUUGUCCGGAAUCAUUGGGCGUAAAGCGCGUGUAGGCGGUCCGGUAAGUCCGCUGUGAAAGUCGAGGGCUCAACCCUCGAAUGCCGGUGGAUACUGUCGGGCUAGAGUACGGAAGAGGCGAGUGGAAUUCCUGGUGUAGCGGUGAAAUGCGCAGAUAUCAGGAGGAACACCGGUGGCGAAGGCGGGUCUCUGGGCCGUAACUGACGCUGAGGAGCGAAAGCGUGGGGAGCGAACAGG